rnacentral:lncRNA from 1 species
CUUCAGUGUCCCCAAAGGAAUGCCAGUCAAAUCAUCCUUAGAAUUGUUGCAAUGACUGGGAACAAAUAAACACUCUCAACCUGGGAACACUGCUGGACCUCAGACACCUUUCUGUCUUCGACAGUGGGAAGCCCCUGAGGAUCCAGAUAAAACCUCAGAUGGAAUCUUCAUCAACCGCAUUCUCGUGUUUCCCAUGAGACUACAGAAGAAGCUGGCAACUGGGCUGGUGGAGAAGCAGCCUUCCCUCCUCACAGAAUUUAGGAAAUAUCAAUAGAGCCUGAAAAGAUGGCUAUGAAGUCACCAGCAUGCCUCCGCUUGUCCCGAGGAUGCAGAGAUGUCACGCCUACAUUUUAAGAGAAAUGCUGGUGUGGUGGUAGAGGAAGCAGACAUGAUCAAAGCACCCGGGAUGCACAGUGAAGCCCAUUGUUUCAUAAGAUUGAUACGUGCUACUGGAAAUAAAUGCUUUUUUAAAAAAAGAAAGAAAGAAACAUUAGCACGAGAGAAUGCUUGCCCUAAAAUGGCUGCCGUCCAGCCCAGGUCAGAAAGUAAGGCUCUGGCAUGCCGCUGGGGAUCAGCUGUAAAUGCUCUGUGGAGCUCUCUCACUGUGGUUCCACGUUUUUUCUUCAUAUAUUAAAC